rnacentral:rRNA from 1 species
CAGGACGAACGCUGGCGGCGUGCUUCAUACAUGCAAGUCGAACGAGAAGCUGGCUUCGGUCAGUGGAAAGUGGCGGACGGGUGAGUAAUAUGUAGGAAAUCUGCCCUAGAGAGGGGGACAACAGAGGGAAACUUCUGCUAAUACCCCAUAUGAGCUUAGUUGAAAUACUAAUCUUGAAAACUCCGGUGCUCUAGGAUGAGCCUGCAUCUGAUUAGCUAGUUGGCGGUGUAAUGGACCACCAAGGCGACGAUCAGUAGCUGGUUUGAGAGGAUGAUCAGCCACAAUGGGACUGAGACACGGCCCAUACUCCUACGGGAGGCAGCAGUAGGGAAUUUUGCGCAAUGGGCGAAAGCCCUGACGCAGCAACGCCGCGUGAACGAUUAAGCCCUUCGGGGUGUAAAGUUCUGUCAGUAGGGACGAAACUUGACGGUACCUACAGAGGAAGCACCGGCUAACUCCGUGCCAGCCGCGGC